rnacentral:pre_miRNA from 1 species
UGUGUACUCCCUCCAUUCCAAAAUACUUGACUUCCAUUUGUCCAAAAAUGGAUGUACCUAUAUACAAAAACAUGUCUAGAUACAUCUAUAUUUUCACAAAUAGAAGGCAUGUAUUGUGGAAUGGAGGGAGUAGAAU